UAAGCUGUAGCAUAGUAUCUCUAUCUAUAUAUACUCACAGUUCCAUUAAUGAGAAAUCAGAACACAAAAGAAUGGGUAUUACUACUUCCCUCUCAUAUCUGUUGUUCUUCAACAUCAUCCUCCCAACCUUAACGGCUUCUCCAAUAUUGUUUCAGGGGUUCAAUUGGGAAUCAUCCAAAAAGCAAGGAGGGUGGUACAACUUCCUCAUCAACUCCAUUCCUGAACUAUCUGCCUCUGGAAUCACUCAUGUUUGGCUUCCUCCACCCUCUCAGUCUAAUGCAUCCGAGGGUUGAUUGUCACUUCUCAAUGAAUGGAAGCAAUAGGGUCACCCUCGAAGGUGGACAUAUAGGUGUUGUUAGGAGUGUGCUUCCUAUGUCCAGCAAGCAGAUUGGCACCACCCAAAGCCAAGGCAUCUUUGGAUGCAUUCCUUUUAAUUUAAAUUUUUUCCACAAAAUUUUUCAUUUCUUUUUAGUGGAGAUUGAAAUUUUCCGUUAGUGGUGGUGUGAAUUUUUUGUACCAUUUUUGUAUCCCUUUUAAUUUAAGAUUAGAUUGAAACUUUCAUCAAGUAAUAAUAGAAAAAAAAAAAACAAUAUUGAUAAAUUGUGUUACAAUUUAUA